AUAAAAGCUUCGAUGGAUUUGAAGUAGUAACUCUUUCCCUGUUUCAGAGAGCUGGUGUUCGCUGCGAACCAGUACAUAAAGACGUUACGAAUUACGUUUCCUUAGCUUUGAUGUGAUGUGCACCACAUCAACGGGUCUGUUCCGUUAUCAACGAUUAAGAGAUAAUCUCUUUCGAAUAGAGAUUAUAAUCAGGGUGGUACCGCGAAUAAAUUCGUUCGUCCCUGCU
rnacentral:ncRNA from 1 species